rnacentral:tRNA from 1 species
UAUACCCAAGUCUGGCUGAAGGGAUCGGUCUUGAAAACCGACAGGCGGCGAGAGUCGCGCGGGGGUUCGAAUCCCUCUA